rnacentral:rRNA from 1 species
GUAGGUGGCAAGCGUUGUCCGGAUUUAUUGGGCGUAAAGCGCGCGCAGGCGGUCCUUUAAGUCUGAUGUGAAAGCCCACGGCUCAACCGUGGAGGGUCAUUGGAAACUGGGGGACUUGAGUACAGAAGAGGAAAGCGGAAUUCCAAGUGUAGCGGUGAAAUGCGUAGAGAUUUGGAGGAACACCAGUGGCGAAGGCGGCUUUCUGGUCUGUAACUGACGCUGAGGCGCGAAAGCGUGGGGAGCAAACAGGGAUUAGAUACCCUGGUAGUCCACGCCGUAAACGAUGAGUGCUAAGUGUUAGGGGGUUUCCCGCCCCUUAGUGCUGCAGCUAACGCAUUAAGCACUCCGCCUGGGGAUACGGCCGCAAGGCUG